GACGAACGCUGGCGGCGUGCUUAACACAUGCCAGUCGUACGGUAAGGCCCUUUCGGGGGUACACGAGUGGCGAACGGGUGAGUAACACGUGAGUAACCUGCCCUUGACUUUGGGAUAACUUCAGGAAACUGGGGCUAAUACCGGAUAGGAGCUCCUGCUGCAUGGUGGGGGUUGGAAAGUUUCGGCGGUUGGGGAUGGACUCGCGGCUUAUCAGCUUGUUGGUGGGGUAGUGGCUUACCAAGGCUUUGACGGGUAGCCGGCCUGAGAGGGUGACCGGCCACAUUGGGACUGAGAUACGGCCCAGACUCCUACGGGAGGCAGCAGUGGGGAAUAUUGCACAAUGGGCGGAAGCCUGAUGCAGCAACGCCGCGUGCGGGAUGACGGCCUUCGGGUUGUAAACCGCUUUCGCCUGUGACGAAGCGUGAGUGACGGUAAUGGGUAAAGAAGCACCGGCUAACUACGUG
rnacentral:rRNA from 1 species